rnacentral:rRNA from 1 species
UACGUAGGCAGCAAGCGUUGUUCGGAAUUACUGGGCGUAAAGAGUGUGUAGGCGGUGCUCUAAGUUUGUCGUGAAAUCUCCCGGCUUAACUGGGAGGGUGCGGCGAAAAACUGGAGUGCUAGAGGGUGGGAGAGGAAAGCGGAAUUCCUGGUGUAGCGGUGAAAUGCGUAGAUAUCAGGAGGAACACCUGCGGUGUAGACAGCUUUCUGGACCACUUCUGACGCUGAGACACGAAAGCGUGGGUAGCAAACAGG